rnacentral:rRNA from 1 species
CUAAGUUUGAUGGCGACCGGCGCACGGGUGAGUAACACGUAUCCAACCUGCCGAUGACUCGGGGAUAGCCUUUCGAAAGAAAGAUUAAUACCCGAUGGCAUAGUUCUUCCGCAUGGUGGAACUAUUAAAGAAUUUCGGUCAUCGAUGGGGAUGCGUUCCAUUAGGUUGUUGGCGGGGUAACGGCCCACCAAGCCUUCGAUGGAUAGGGGUUCUGAGAGGAAGGUCCCCCCACAUUGGAACUGAGACACGGUCCAAACUCCUACGGGAGGCAGCAUG